rnacentral:rRNA from 1 species
UACUUUUAAGAAUCUAUAAUAAAAAUUCUUGACGGAUAUAUAGAUUUUUUAUGUAGGCUAUUCAAUACAAUUUAUAGGAGAUAUUACAUUUAACAUAAGAUGCCUUUUUGGUAACAAAAAAAAUUAAAAAUUUUAAAUAACAUAAUGAAUUGACAUCUCAGUAAUUAUGGAUUAUAAACAAACCUGAAUUUUAUUAGUAGUGGUGAGCGAACAUAAAAUAUUUUAAUAUUCUUAACAAAUAAAACUAUUAUAAUAGUGUGUAGAAGUUAAAACCUUGUAAUUUGUUAAUAUAUUACUAGAAGGUAUAUGGAAGGCUUUGAUUGUAAUUAGAUUGGAGUACCACUUCAAUAUUAAACACAUAAAAAAAUCGAUAGCGAAAAAGUACGUGAGGGAACUAUGAAAAGCACUCGAUCUAAAGAGGUUGAAAUAGAUCUUGAAAUAAGAAUUUAAAAGCAUUUGAUGUUUUUCAAGGAAAAAUACCAAAGUACUUUUGUAUCAUGGAUCAACGAGAUAAAUGAAAAAGCAAGCUUAUAUAUUAUAUAGCAUAGGAAAGCAAAUUUUAAAUCGUUUGAGUUUUUUCAUUUAAACCCGAAACUAGUGAUCUAAUCAUGAGAGAUUGAAAUGAGUUAACAACUUUUGGAGGAUGAACCCUUUUCUGUUGCAUAGAAUGGGAUGACUUGUGAUUAGGGGUGAGGCUAAUCAAACUAGGAGAUAGCUGGUUUUCUGCGAAAUGUAUUUAGGUACGUGAUAGUUUUGUUUCCUGGUGUAAAGCAAGAAGCGGGAUAUAAAAGCUUUUAAUCAAGCUACUAUUCAAACUCUAAAGACAGGGAAAUUUAUCUAUUAUACAGACUUUGGGUGCUAAGGUCCUUGGUUAAAGGAGAAGAGUCCUCACACUAGCUAAGGACCGCAAUAAAACUUAAGUCAAAGAUAUCUUAUUACAAAGACAAAAGGAUGUAGGCUUUCAAGCAGCAUCUUUUAAAGAAAGCGUUACAGCUCACGUUUCAAGUACAAGAUAUUACAAAUAAAGGAUUUUUCGUUUUAUCCAAAGUAGUGAAUUUUAUUUUGAUAGCAGAAUCUUAGUUUUUAAUGGAUAAUUUAGUAAUAUUUUAUUUUAAAUCUAAGUGAAAAAUGUUGAUAUAGUAGUUUUUAUAACGAUUAUGUUAUGCCAAAGUUUAAAGGUUUCUUAUCCAUUCUUUAAAGAUAAGGGUUAUACGUCCUCUAUGUUUUAGCGAAAGCAACAACAAAGGAGUUUGAUGAUUAAAAAUCAUUUGUUUUAAUAUUGUGACAAAAAUUUAAAAACUAAUUCUUACAUAUAAAGCGGACUAGUUUUCAUAUUUUUCCAGAAAAAGAGUUAAAAUAAAACGUACUAAAACGACACUGGUAAACUAGUAAAUUACUGCGGCGAUGGAUUAACUAUACUAAAGGAACGGCAAAUUCAAUCUGUAACUUUUGGAGAAAGAUUAUAUAAUUUUCCUUGUUUUUAUAACAAGCGUAAAUACCAUAAGAGUUAGAGUAUCAAAGAAAUUAUAUGAUAUAAAGCACAGUAUUUUCUUUCAUUUUCUUUAUAGAAAAUUACUCGUGAAAUCUUAUGUGUGAUGGCACAGAAUAGAGGGUAGCGACUGUUUAUUAAAAACACAGGACUGCUAAGUAUAAAUAUGAUGUAUAGGUCUGAGACUGCCCGGUGUCAGUAGGUAAACGAGACUGAUUAUCUUUAAGUCUCUUUCAGAUAAUUUAAUUUGUUAGUCUCUUAAAUCACUGGUAAAGGCGGCUGUAACUAUGACGGUCUAAGGUAGCGAAAUUCCUUGUCGGGUAAGUUCCGACGUGCACGAAUGGUAACGACUUCCCUACUGUCUCUAGUGUAGAUCCAAUGAAAUUGGAAUUAUUGUGAAGAUACGAUAUAGAAAUAGCCAGACGGAAAGACCCUGUGAACUUUACUAUAUGCUUUUAUUUUUUAUUCUUGGGGUAAUAUUAAGUUUAUUAUGCAAGUUAUCGAAAUAUUCAUUUUCAUGAUAUUUAGGCGUUCCUGCGAAACAUUUAUUACUAUGGUCUAAAAAUUUUUAAUGAAAGUGGUUAGUUUGACUGGGGCGGUAGCCUCCCAAAUGUAACGGAGUGCGUACAAAAGAUUUGUUACGUUUAGAUUUAUUACACGAUAGCGCAAGGGCUAAUACUUGUUGACUGUUUGAAUGACAAUUCAUUCAGGGAUUUAUUUUUAAAUGGUCCUAGUAAUCCAAUCUUAACCUGUGGGCGUAGGAUUGCCAACGAAUAAAAGGUAUCCGGGGAUAACAGGUGAUAAUUCCUUAGAGUACCUAUGACGGAAUUGUUUGGCACUCGAUGUCGGCUCAUCACAUCUGAGACUGAAAAGGGCCUCAAGGGUUCGGUUGUUACCGAUUAAUAGUGGUACGUGAGUGGGUUUAGAACGUGUGAGACAGUUCGGUCCCUAUUACUAUUUCAUAAGACGUAAAAGUUGUUCUGUCUAGUAGAAAGGACUGGUGGAACGAUUCUCUGGUUUUUGAGCUGUUUGCGCACGCUAUUCGCUACGAAUCUUUUAUUAAUCGCUGAAAGCAUCUAAGCGAGAAAUAAUACUUUAAGUCUUUUUAACGUUGUAGACUAUAACGUCAAUAGGCUCAUGAAAUGCAUGUCGUAAGAUUUGAUUAUAGAGUAGAUGCUUGCAAAAGCUUUACUCACCAAUCAUCACUAACCAUUACAAAUUUUACCUU